AGUCCUGAAGUGAUUCACACCAAAGUGCAAAUUUGGGAACGUCACCGAGAGGUGUCCAGGGCUU
rnacentral:tRNA from 2 species